rnacentral:misc_RNA from 1 species
UCAGCCUCUUCAAGUUCAAUCCUAUCACGAAAUGACUCAGAAUCACCUGCUUGCAAAAUGCCUUCUCGUGUUUCUAACUGCCUAUUAGAAUCUUGGAUAUUGUUUUCUACAAGCCCCUCAGGCAUUCCAGAGGAGUUUACAUCAUUGCUUUCAUUUAGGUUCAGAUUUUCAUUAGCAUCAAGCCCAUAUGUUCUCAAAGGCAAGCUUGUUUCAGAAGUAUUACCAGAACUGGAUGAGUUGAUAGGUAAAGAACUGGAUAAGGUUGUAUCGCUCCUAGGAUUGUCCCUUAACUUUUUAAAGCGGUCCAGGCAAUUAGAAUGCCUGUAACUUGUAUCACAAAUGUAAGAUCUGCAGCCCUU